rnacentral:rRNA from 1 species
AAGAGAAAGGACGGGACGUAAGGAAUAAGCGUCGGCAAACUACGUGCCAGCAGCCGCGGUAAGACGUAGGGACGCGAGCGUUAUCCGGGAUUUACUGGGCGUAAAGCGUGUGUAGGCGGCGUGACAAGUUGGGCGUGAAAGCCCCGUGCUCAACGCGGGGAGGCCGCACAAUACUGUCAGGCUAGAGGGCACCAGAGGGGUGUGGAAUUCCCGGAGUAGCGGUAAAAUGCGCAGAUAUCGGGAGGAACACCGGUGGCGAAAGCGGCACCCUGGGGUGCGCCUGACGCUGAGAGACGACAGCUAGGGGAGCGAACAGGAUUAGAGACCCUGGUAGUCCUAGCCGUAAACGAUGGAUGCUAGGUGUAGGAGUGAAGAGCUUCUGUGCCGCAGCGAACGCGAUAAGCAACCCGCCUGGGGAGUACGGCCGCAAGGUUAAAACUCAAACGAAUUGACGGGGACCCGCACAAGCAGCGGAGCGUGUGGUUUAAUUCGAUGCUACACGAAGAACCUUACCUGGGAUUGACAUAUGGGUGGUAGUGAUCCGAAAGGAGAGCGACCCUUCGGGGAGCCUAUACAGGUGCUGCAUGGCUGUCGUCAGCUCGUGCCGUGAGGUGUCGGGUUAAGUCCCGUAACGAGCGCAACCCUUGUCCUUAGUUACAAGUGUCUAAGGGGACUGCCGGCGGGAAGCCGGAGGAAGGUGGGGAUGACGUCAAGUCAGCAUGGCCCUUAUAUCCAGGGCGACACACACGCUACAAUGGUCGGUACAGAGGGCAGCGAAGCCGCGAGGUGGAGCGAAACCCAGAAAGCCGGUCGUAGUUCGGAUUGCAGGCUGCAACUCGCCUGCAUGAAGUUGGAGUUGCUAGUAACCGCAGGUCAGCCAUACUGCGGUGAUACGUUCCCGGGUCUUGUACACACCGCCCGUCACGUCAUGGGAGUCUGUAACGCCUGAAGGCGGUAGCCUGACCGCAAGGGAGGCGCUGUCGAGGGCGGGGCUGGCAACUGGGACGAAGUCGUANCAAGGUAAC